rnacentral:tRNA from 1 species
ACCUGGCUGGCUCAGUUGGUGGAGCAUAUGACUGUUGAUCUGGGGGUUGUGGGUCCAAGCCCCAUGUUGGGUG